UACAGAGGUCUCAAGCGUUUGUUCGGAUUCAUUGGGCGUAAAGGGUGCGUAGGUGGCGCGGUAAGUCGGGUGUGAAAUCUCGGAGCUUAACUCCGAAAUUGCAUUCGAUACUGCCGUGCUCGAGGACUGGAGAGGAGACUGGAAUUCAUGGUGUAGCAGUGAAAUGCGUAGAGAUCAUGAGGAAGACCAGUGGCGAAGGCGGGUCUCUGGACAGUUCCUGACACUGAG
rnacentral:rRNA from 1 species